rnacentral:rRNA from 1 species
GACGAACGCUGGCGGCGUGCCUAAUACAUGCCAGUAGAACGCACAGUUUAUACCGUAGCUUGCUACACCAUAGACUGUGAGUUGCGAACGGGUGAGUAACGCGUAGGUAACCUGCCUGGUAGCGGGGGAUAACUAUUGGAAACGAUAGCUAAUACCGCAUAAUAUUGAUUAUUGCAUGAUAAUUGAUUUAAAGAUGCUAUUGCAUCACUACCAGAUGGACCUGCGUUGUAUUAGCUAGUAGGUGAGGUAACGGCUCACCUAGGCGACGAUACAUAGCCGACCUGAGAGGGGGAUCGGCCACACUGGGACGGAGACACGGCCCAGACGACUACGGGAGGCAGCAGUAGGGAAUCUUCGGCAAUGGACGAAAGUCUGACCGAGCAACGCCGCGUGAGUGAAGAAGGUUUUCGGAUCGUAAAGCUCGGUUGUAAGAGAAGAACGGGUGUGAGAGUGGAAAGUUCACACUGUGACGGUAUCUUACCAGAAAGGGACGGCUAACUACGUG